GAGGCCGUAGCUCAAUUGGUAGAGCGCCAGAUUGUGGAUCUGGUGGUUGUGGGUUCAAGUCCCAUCGACCUCC
rnacentral:tRNA from 1 species